GAGCCAAGUUGAUAGAAUACGGCGUAAAGCGUGGUUAAAAGCCCCCACUAAACUAAGACUAAACCCCUCCAAAGCUGUUAUACGCACCCGGAAGUAUGAAACUCAACUACGAAAGUGGCCUUAACUCCCCCUUGACCCCACGAAAGCUGCGAAACAAACUGGGAUUAGAUACCCCACUAUGCACAGCCAUAAACUUUGAUAGAAGACUACAAGUUCUAUCCGCCCGGGAACUACGAGCAUAAGCUUAAAACCCAAAGGACUUGGCGGUGCUUUAGACCCCCCUAGAGGAGCCUGUUCUAGAACCGAUAACCCCCGUUAGACCUCACCUUUUCUUGUUAAUUCCGCCUAUAUACCGCCGUCGUCAGCUUACCCUGUGAAGGACCAAUAGUAAGCAAAACUAGUAAAACCCAAAACGCCAGGUCGAGGUGUAGCAUACGAAAAGGAAAGAAAUGGGCUACAUUUCCUUCCCCUAGGAAACACGAAUUGUGCUAUGAAAUAACACAUGAAGGUGGAUUUAGCAGUAAGCAGAAAACAGAGUGUUCCGCUGAAACCGGCCCUGAAGCGCGCACACACCGCCCGUCACUCUCCCCAAGUUCUUAAACAUUAAUAACUAAUACCCCACCGGAACAAAGGGGAGGCAAGUCGUAACAUGGUAAGUGUACCGGAAGGUGC
rnacentral:rRNA from 1 species